rnacentral:rRNA from 1 species
CCCUUAGAUGUUCUGGGCCGCACGCGCGCUACACUGAUGCAUUCAACGAGUCUAAAACCUGGUCUGAUAGGGCUGGGUAAUCUUUUGAAAGUGCAUCGUGAUUGGGAUAGAUGAUUGCAAUUCUUCAUCUUCAACGAGGAAUGCCUAGUAAACGCAAGUCAUCAGCUUGCAUUGAUUACGUCCCUGCCCUUUGUACACACCGCCCGUCGCUCCUACCGAUUGAAUGAUCCGAUGAAUAUCAUGGAUUGAGGAUGCAAGUAGGUUCGCCUAUCUUCAUCUUCGAGAAGUGAAGUAAAUCUUAUCAUUUAGAGGAAGGAGAAGUCGUAACA